CGACUCUCGAGAGCCCCACGCCGACGCUGACUUCAAAUCCGCCAACGAAAAAUCUGGGUUUGUUCCUAUUUCGAUCUUCUGAAACGGAGGACGCAGCAGCUCACAAAUCAACUCCUUUCUCCCUCCGACGCGACCACUUAGGCCAUCGCCUCCGCUCGAUUCCCUGCAUCCUCGCACGUUUUUCCCCUGCUUGUGGGUAGUGAGGUUCGGGCAACCUUCGGAGGCCUGCGCUUUCUCUCUUUAAGCCUUCUUGGGUCGUCAGGACGGAGGCAAGUUCCUCUUUUUGUCUGUCGAGGGAGGCUUGAAAGAAGCCGGAACUCCUUGCGUCGUCUGCCGUGGGAGCAGAAGGAUCGAUUGUCACCGUUGCCGCGGAAAAGGGUCUCCGCGAAAAAGGUCUCUCUCUCUUUCUCUCUCGGUGGCAAACCCAGAUGGUUUGGUUAGAUAUCAGCUCAGGUUAUUGGUGAAAUCUCCUAACUUGUUGCAAGUACAUACCAUUGCGUUGAGUACCUAGCGGCUGGGAGCCGGCGGCUACGGCCAACCUCCCUCGGGUUUGUACAUUGGAUGUGUGUCGUCAUGUGAAGGCCGGUUCUGAUGACAAAAUCUAUAGGACCAAUUCAUACAUGUUUGUGCCGUAGGCGAAGGCGUAACCUUAAAAAGGAAAAAAGAAGGAAAGAGAAAAGAGAGAAGCAUAAUGCAACAGCCAGAUUUCUUGUUUUAUCCCCUUCCUUCGGAUACCCACUUUAAUGUUUGAAUGAACAAUCAGCUGUUGUGUGAAAAACAUUCUGGGAGUUUAGUCUUGGUGGUUUGUUGCGGGAGCCUCUCUGUGUUCAUAGAUAGAGCCUCGAUCUAAAUCUAAUCUAUGCAGAGAGUCAAGAGUUUGCUGCAAUUAAUGACCGGAGUUGUAAAUGUUAUUGGGGGAUCGCUAGCUUUCUUUGAGGUCCUGAUCAGAAUAGAAAUGUUGUUUGUGAGAGAUCUGCACGUGCAACACUGUUGCAAGUGUCUGCUUAUGGAUAUCUCGUGGGGAUGAACUUGAUUAGUUUCCAAAUGUGAGGGCAUAGAUUGACCUUAUGCAUUGUUCUUGCAAGAGAGAUUCCAUAUAGUUCUCUCUUUUCGGUACUAGCAGCUGUUAAAUUCAGGCUUGCCCUAUCUAAGAUGGGAGGAAAUAUCUCUCUAGGUGGAUAGUGAGGAAUUGAAAAGCAUGAAGGCUACUGCUACCUAGUGAAUUGAAGAGAUCCCAUUGCAUUACUAGUGAACCGGUUCAGACUUAUGAGUCAUGGACCACAAGUUAUGGUGGCUUGAUAAGAGGGCAAAGCUCCACAUAUGGUCAAGCGCUGAUAGUCUACUCUUUUCCAAGCAAAGAGACCACUAGGCUUAUGUUUUAUAGCUUCCAUCCACAUAAGAGUCUGUAUGAGUAGGUUUUGUUGUAAUUACGGUGGUCUUCUUCAAUGCUGCUUCUUGUUCCAUAACAAAACACACACUGCAUCGCCAUGACUUCCUUGGAAUUUCACCUUUUGUCCCCUUGCUUAUUUUGCAUCAUCUGGGUUUGUUGUGGGGUGUAAGGGGGUCGAGAAAAUUACAGUGGCAAGUGUGCUUUCAAUCAGAAUGAGAGCAUAGAUUCAUGGCAUUUCGGUAUUCUUUUGGCCACUUAAUUAAGUUUUCUGCGAUUGGCAGAUUUCUCUUUGUUUUAUUUACUACUUUUGUUGGGUGUUCCUCCGCUGAAUCCUCGUAUUAUUUGCUGCUGUAGAGCUGAUCGACCAACGAAAUUGAGUUCACCUACAGUAUCAAUUAUAUUCAACAACUGUUAACUAUUUGACUCCAUUUAUUCUUGGUGAGUUUUUUAUGUCUAGGUCAGCCCCUUUGUGCGGAGGGUGGAGUGGGCAUUGAAGCUCAAGGGCAUAGCCUACAACUGCAUCGAGGAAACAUCCUCAACAAGAGCGCUCUGCUUCUGUGGCUCAACCCUGUUCACCAGAAAGUCCCUGUCCUCGUCCAUGGAGAGUCCAGAGUAGUCUACGAGUCCAGGAGGAAUGAAGCCCUAUGUCAAUUAUUGCACCUGCUCCUUGCUCGGUGCAGAGAAUAGCUUUGCUUGCCCUUGUUUUCCUUAUGAGUUGAGCUUUGGAUUUGUAUUUAAGAUUCAAGAGUUAAGUAUAGAUCGUAAUAAUGUGGUUUAGUGCGGUUUUUGAGUUACUCUGCUCCUGUGUAUGAUUUCACUCUUAUCUUAGAUUGUUGGUUGUGCAAAUUGACAGUUGAAGCUCC